GAUGACAGAAGAUAGAGAGCACAACCGCUCAGAUGCCGGCACUCUGCGUUUGAGGUGUAUGUGCUCUCGUUGAUUUUGUCAUC
rnacentral:pre_miRNA from 1 species